rnacentral:rRNA from 1 species
GACGAACGCUGGCGGCGUGCUUAACACAUGCAAGUCGAGCGGUAAGGCCCUUUGGGGUACACGAGCGGCGAACGGGUGAGUAACACGUGAGUAAUCUGCCUUUGGCUUGGGAAUAACUUCGGGAAAUCGGGGCUAAUGCCUGAUGUUUACUGUCUGCUGCAUGGUGGGUGGUGGAAAGAUUUUUUGGCCAGGGAUGAGCUCGCGGUCUAUCAGCUUGUUGGUGGGGUAAUGGCUUACCAAGGCUUUGACGGGUAGCCGGCCUGAGAGGGUGUUCGGCCACACUGGGACUGAGACACGGCCCAGACUCCUACGGGAGGCAGCAGUGGGGAAUAUUGCGCAAUGGGCGUAAGCCUGACGCAGCGACGCCGCGUGGGGA